GACGAACGCUGGCGGCGUGCUUAACACAUGCAAGUCGAACGAAGAGCGAUGGAAGCUUGCUUCUAUCAAUCUUAGUGGCGAACGGGUGAGUAACGCGUAAUCAACCUGCCCUUCAGAGGGGGACAACAGUUGGAAACGACUGCUAAUACCGCAUACGAUCUAACCUCGGCAUCGAGGAUAGAUGAAAGGUGGCCUCUACAUGUAAGCUAUCGCUGAAGGAGGGGAUUGCGUCUGAUUAGCUAGUUGGAGGGGUAACGGCGCACCAAGGCGAUGAUCAGUAGCAGGUCUGAGAUGAUGAACGGCCACAUUGGGACUGAGACACGGCCCAGACUCCUACGGGAGGCAGCAGGGGGGAAUCUUCCGCAAUGGACGAAAGUCUGACGGAGCAACGCCGCGUGAGUGAUGACGGCCUUCGGGUUGUAAAGCUCUGUUAAUCGGGACGAAAGGCCUUCUUGCGAAUAGUUAGAAGGAUUGACGGUACCGGAAUAGAAAGCCACGGCUAACUACGUG
rnacentral:rRNA from 1 species